UAUGACACCAUAUGGCUAUUUCGAGUGUUCUUCUCAUCUCUAGAUCUCCAUUGGUGUCAUUCC
rnacentral:pre_miRNA from 1 species